rnacentral:rRNA from 1 species
CGAGGACGACGCUGGCGGCGUGCCUAACACAUGCAAGUCGGAACGGGUACUCCGUUCGGGGGUACUUAGUGGCGAACGGGUGAGUAACGCGUGAGGAACCUACCUUCCAGUGGGGGACAACAGUUGGAAACGACUGCUAAUACCGCAUAACACAACGAGACCGCAUGAUCUUGUUGUCAAAGCUUUAUGUGCUGGAAGAUGGCCUCGCGUCUGAUUAGCUAGUUGGUGGGGUAACGGCCUACCAAGGCGACGAUCAGUAGCCGGACCGAGAGGUUGAACGGCCACAUUGGGACUGAGAUACGGCCCAGACUCCUACGGGAGGCAGCAGGUGGGGAAUAUUGGGCAAUGGGGGAAACCCUGACCCAGCAACGCCGCGUGAAGGAAGAAGGCCUUCGGGUUGUAAACUUCUUUUACCAGGGACGAAGAACGUGACGGUACCUGGAGAAAAAGCAACGGCUAACUACGUG